rnacentral:rRNA from 1 species
AUUGAACGCUGGCGGCAGGCCUAACACAUGCAAGUCGAGCGAGCGGCGGACGGGUGAGUAAUGUAUGGGGACUGCCCGAUAGAGGGGGAUAACUACUGGAAACGGUAGCUAAUACCGCAUACUAUCGGAUAACCCAUAUGGGAUUAGCUAGUUGGUGAGGUAAUGGCUCACCAAGGCGACGAUCCCUAGCUGGUCUGAGAGGAUGAUCAGCCACACUGGGACUGAGACACGGCCCAGACUCCUACGGAGGCAGCAGUGGGGAAUAUUGCACAAUGGGCGCAAGUCUGAUUCAGCCACGCCGCGUGUAUGAAGAAGGCUCUAGGGUUGUAAAGUACUGUUAUUCGGGAGGCGGUACCGACAGAAGAAGCACCGGCUAACUACGUGCCAGCAGCCGCGGUAAUAC